GACGAACGCUGGCGGCGUGCCUAAUACAUGCAAGUAGAACGCUGAAGGAGGAGCUUGCUUCUCUGGAUGAGUUGCGAACGGGUGAGUAACGCGUAGGUAACCUGCCUGGUAGCGGGGGAUAACUAUUGGAAACGAUAGCUAAUACCGCAUAAUAGCAGUUAUUGCAUGAUAACUGUUUGAAAGGUGCAAUUGCACCACUACCAGAUGGACCUGCGUUGUAUUAGCUAGUUGGUGGGGUAACGGCUCACCAAGGCGACGAUACAUAGCCGACCUGAGAGGGUGAUCGGCCACACUGGGACUGAGACACGGCCCAGACUCCUACGGGAGGCAGCAGUAGGGAAUCUUCGGCAAUGGACGGAAGUCUGACCGAGCAACGCCGCGUGAGUGAAGAAGGUUUUCGGAUCGUAAAGCUCUGUUGUAAGAGAAGAACGAGUGUGAGAGUGGAAAGUUCACACUGUGACGGUAUCUUACCAGAAAGGGACGGCUAACUACGUGCCAGCAGCCGCGGUAAUACGUAGGUCCCGAGCGUUGUCCGGAUUUAUUGGGCGUAAAGCGAGCGCAGGCGGUUAGAUAAGUCUGAAGUUAAAGGCUGUGGCUUAACCAUAGUACGCUUUGGAAACUGUUUAACUUGAGUGCAAGAGGGGAGAGUGGAAUUCCAUGUGUAGCGGUGAAAUGCGUAGAUAUAUGGAGGAACACCGGUGGCGAAAGCGGCUCUCUGGCUUGUAACUGACGCUGAGGCUCGAAAGCGUGGGGAGCAAACAGG
rnacentral:rRNA from 1 species